GGCAGAUGAUGGGUUUUUUCUCACGAUGGUCUUCGGAUGCCACACUGCCGAUAAUGCCAAAGGCUAAGCUGAUGCCAGGAG